rnacentral:tRNA from 1 species
GAGGGUAUAGCUCAGAGCUGGGGUGCAUGCCCAGCAUGCAUGAGGUCCUGGGUUCAAUCCCCAGUACCUCCA